rnacentral:rRNA from 1 species
AAAACGACUCUCGGCAACAGAUAUCUCGGCUCUCGCAUCGAUGAAGAACGUAGCGAAAUGCGAUACUUGGUGUGAAUUGCAGAAUCCCGUGAACCAUCGAGUCUUUGAACGCAAGUUGCGCCCCAAGCCUUCUGGCCGAGGGCACGUCUGCCUGGGUGUCACAA